rnacentral:rRNA from 1 species
GAUGAACGCUGGCGGCGUGCCUAAUACAUGCAAGUCGAGCGAACAGACGAGGAGCUUGCUCCUCUGACGUUAGCGGCGGACGGGUGAGUAACACGUGGAUAACCUACCUAUAAGACUGGGAUAACUUCGGGAAACCGGAGCUAAUACCGGAUAAUAUAUUGAACCGCAUGGUUCAAUAGUGAAAGACGGUUUUGCUGUCACUUAUAGAUGGAUCCGCGCCGCAUUAGCUAGUUGGUAAGGUAACGGCUUACCAAGGCAACGAUGCGUAGCCGACCUGAGAGGGUGAUCGGCCACACUGGAACUUAGACACGGUCCAGACUCCUACGGGAGGCAGCAGUAGGGAAUCUUCCGCAAUGGGCGAAAGCCUGACGGAGCAACGCCGCGUGAGUGAUGAAGGUCUUCGGAUCGUAAAACUCUGUUAUUAGGGAAGAACAAAUGUGUAAGUAACUAUGCACGUCUUGACGGUACCCAAUCAGAAAGCCACGGCUAACUACGUG